rnacentral:rRNA from 1 species
AUGGACACUUCAAAACCUUGGAUUGGCUUGUCGCUCCCUGUGGACAGAUGUGUUCGUUCUUUAUUUGAGGCUUCGGUGGAUUUCUCCAUUGGAGAUGGGGGCCUAACUCAGUUCUGGACCGACCCUUGGCAUAAUAGGGAAAGCUUCUGCACAAAAUUCCCAGAUUUGUUCAAGCAAUGCACUCUCAAAACUAUAAGUGUCAAGGCUGCUGUAAUGGGUGACAAAUGGAUGAGACACUUCAAAGCCAACCUCUCGGCUGCCUCCAUCGACCAGUUCUCGAGCCUAUGGAAUGUUGUGCAGCACACCCACCUCAUCCCGGACCAGCCUGACUCCUUGACCUGGCGAUGGACAGCUAAUGGUACUUCCUCGGCUGCUUCUGCUUCUGCUGCCAUGCUGUCGGCACAGAUCAAGCCGCUCUUCGCCAAACUUGCCUGGAGCUCGGACGCGCCACUAAAAUGUCAAUUUUUUGUGUGGCUCGUGGCUCAAGGAAAGUGUUUAACCGCUGAUAACCUAGCUAAGAGAGGCUGGCCACAUAACCCACCUGCUUCUUGUGCUUGCAAGCUCCUGAAAGUGCCUCCCACCUCCUUUCAGUUUGCCCCUACGCCAAGGAGAUUUGGCACUUAG